rnacentral:rRNA from 1 species
UACGUAGGGUGCAGGCGUUGCCCGGAUUUAUUGGGCGUAAAGGGCGCGUAGGCGGUCACGCACGUCCGUUGUGAAAUCGCUCGGCUCAACUGGGCGGGGUCAGCGGAUACGGUGUGGCUGGAGCACUGUAGAGGCAGGCGGAAUUCCGGGUGUAGCGGUGGAAUGCGUAGAGAUCCGGAAGAACACCGGUGGCGAAGGCGGCCUGCUGGGCAGUGGCUGACACUGAGGCGCGACAGCGUGGGGAGCAAACAGG